rnacentral:rRNA from 1 species
GAUUUCUGGUUCGGCGCACUUGGCCCGCCUCGGUUUACGGGGUCGCGUGCCGGUGUGCGCCAUCCAUCCUUCGGAACGUCGUAUCUACCCUUCAUUGGGCCGGAUACGCUAUUCCGAUCUUUUACUUUGAAAAAAUUAGAGUGUUUAAAGCAGGCUUAUCGCUAUGAAUACAUUAGCAUGGAAUAAUAAUUUAGGACUUUGGUCUUAUUUUGUUGGUUUCUAGGACUAAAGUAAUGAUUGAUAGGGACAGUUGGGGGUGCUAGUAUUCAGCGGCCAGAGGUGAAAUUCUUGGAUUCGCUGAAGACUAACUUAUGCGAAAGCAUU